rnacentral:tRNA from 1 species
GGAGAGUUGGCAGAGCGGUUUAAUGCGGCGGUCUUGAAAACCGUUGGCCAUGCAAGUGACCCGGGGGUUCGAAUCCCUCACUCUCCGCCA